AGAGUCAGCUACGUGAUCGCUGUGAAAACAGAGGAAAGUCCGGGCUCCAUAGGCAAUAGUGCCAGGUAACACCUGGGAGACGUAAGUUUACGGAAAGUGCUACAGAAAAUAACCGCUUGCUAGUUAGCAAGUAAGGGUGAAAAGGUGAGGUAAGAGCUCACCACAUACNAGGUAACAAGUAUGGUUGAGGCAAACCCCACUAGGAGCAAAGCAAAUUUAUAGCAUUUUGUCAGCCUAAGACAAGCUAUAUGGUAGGCUGCUAGAGGUUUUUGGNGACAAAAGCCCCAGAUUAAUGAUCAUGCACGACAGAACCCGGCUUAUCNGCUGGCUCUNAGC
rnacentral:RNase_P_RNA from 1 species